CCCCAGUUCAUGCUAAUUGCUAAGAUCACGCAGAUUGCUGACUUUGUUCAUCCAUGUUGACUGAAGUGUGACAUACCCUGGUGUGAAAAUACACAUGGUUUAUCCACCUCCUCUUCUGCUGAUUGGUUUUAGGCACAUUUUUGCCAUUGUGACAAUGCUGCUGGGACCAUGGUCCUUCUAACAAGUGUCGUGGUUCCUGUUGAGUUAAUGCACAUGGCCAGUGGGGUAAGAGGUCAUCCCCAGGCAAUCUGGCACGACUUUUCGCUUCCCUAAGAAGGUAGAAGGGAUAAGGUGGAGCAACAUCUUUUCCUGUGCUCCAGGAUGGUGGAUGCUGGGGCAUGGACCCACAGGAGAAGCCUCUGGAGCCAGUGAGGACACAGGCCUUGUCCAGUAUCAAACUUGGAACCUUGCGCUUGUGAGGCAGGCGUGGGAACUACUAAGCUAAAUCCCAGCCCAAUCCUGGCUUUUAAAAAGUGGUUACCAGAAAGACAUAGAUAAAAGUACACAAUAGCGUUGUCUGGAAUUGUGCUGGGCCUUCCUCCCUGCUGGAGUCCUCUCCCUGUGAGCUACUUCAUGAUAUCUAGGUUGCUUCUGCUGCUCUCCACUGUGAAUACAGAAGUACAAAAAUCCAUGUUUAUCCAGCUACGAAUGACUCCCCAAAGAGGUAUAAAGCUGGACAGGAGCAGAUCUUAUUUCUUCACCAUUACUUUUGCCAAAGAUUCAUUUAUUUGUUCAUCUGAUAAUUUUUUUUUUUUUAAUUUUUUUUUAGUA